UACAGAGGUCUCAAGCGUUGUUCGGAUUCAUUGGGCGUAAAGGGUGCGUAGGCGGCGCGGUAAGUCGGGUGUGAAAUCUCGGGGCUUAACUCCGAAACUGCAUUCGAUACUGCCGUGCUUGAGGACUGGAGAGGAGACUGGAAUUUACGGUGUAGCGGUGAAAUGCGUAGAGAUCGGAAGGAACGUCGAUGGCGAAGGCAGCCACCUGGCAUAAUACUGACGCUGAGGCGCGAGAGCGUGGGGAGCGAACAGG
rnacentral:rRNA from 1 species